rnacentral:lncRNA from 1 species
CAGUCGGCCUUACUUAGGGAUGUAAGAAAAUGAAAGGAAUAAGAUUGUAAUAAUUUGUAAUAAAAGCAUGAUUGUAUUCGAAAGUUAAAUGUAAAAUGUAAUUGUGAUGUAAAAUAUAUCUUGUGAAUAUGAAUGCUUGUAAUAGCAAGUAGAUUAUGUUUUUGAUACUUCCUUAUGCAAUCUUUAAUUGAAAUGUGUUCCUGGUUGGAACUUUGUACAUUGUAUUGAUUGCGACGCCUUGGACGUACAAGGAAGACUCUGUCCGCGGGUCAGGAAAAACUCUGUCCGUUCGGCGGUCUG